AUUGAACGCUGGCGGAAUGCUUUACACAUGCAAGUCGAACGGUAGAGGGGGCAACCCCUCGAGAGUGGCGAACGGGUGAGUAAUAUAUCGGAACGUGCCCAGUCGUGGGGGAUAACGUAGCGAAAGUUACGCUAAUACCGCAUACUAUCUAAGGAUGAAAGCGGGGGGUCGCAAGACCUCGCGCGAUUGGAGCGGCCGAUACCAGAUUAGGUAGUUGGUGGGGGAAAGGCUCACCAAGCCAACGAUCUGUAGCUGGUCUGAGAGGACGACCAGCCACACUGGAACUGAGACACGGUCCAGACUCCUACGGGAGGCAGCAGUGGGGAAUUUUGGACAAUGGACGCAAGUCUGAUCCAGCCAUUCCGCGUGCAGGAUGAAGGCCCUCGGGUUGUAAACUGCUUUUGUACGGAACGAAAAGGUCUCUCUUAAUACGGGGGGCUCAUGACGGUACCGUAAGAAUAAGCACCGGCUAACUACGUGCCAGCCGCCGCUGUAA
rnacentral:rRNA from 1 species